CCUACGGGGGGCUGCAGUGGGGAAUAUUGGACAAUGGGGGGAACCCUGAUCCAGCCAUGCCGCGUGUGUGAAGAAGGCCCUCGGGUUGUAAAGCACUUUCAGUGAGGAAGAACGCCUGGUGGUUAAUACCCAUCGGGAAAGACAUCACUCACAGAAGAAGCACCGGCUAACUCCGUGCCAGCAGCCGCGGUAAUACGGAGGGUGCGAGCGUUAAUCGGAAUUACUGGGCGUAAAGCGCGCGUAGGUGGCUUGAUAAGCCGGUUGUGAAAGCCCCGGGCUCAACCUGGGAACGGCAUCCGGAACUGUCAAGCUAGAGUGCAGGAGAGGAAGGUAGAAUUCCCGGUGUAGCGGUGAAAUGCGUAGAGAUCGGGAGGAAUACCAGUGGCGAAGGCGGCCUUCUGGACUGACACUGACACUGAGGUGCGAAAGCGUGGGUAGCAAACAGGAUUAGAUACCCGAGUAGUC
rnacentral:rRNA from 1 species